rnacentral:rRNA from 1 species
GCCAACAGCCACAUCACCCUGCAGCUCCCAGCUGGCAGCCCACUGGAGCUCAGCAGGUGUGAGCCUGGUCAGUACCUGGAUGGGAGACCUCCUGGGAGAAACUAAGGUUGCUGCUGGAA